UACAGAGGUCUCAAGCGUUGUUCGGAUUCAUUGGGCGUAAAGGGUGCGUAGGCGGCGCGGUAAAGUCGGGGUGUGAAAUCUCGGAGCUUAACUCCGAAACUGCAUUCGAUACUGCCGUGCUUGAGGACUGGAGAGGAGACUGGAAUUUACGGUGUAGCGGUGAAAUGCGUAGAUAUCGUAAGGAAGACCAGUGGCGAAGGCGGGUCUCUGGACAGUUCCUGACGCUGAGGCACGAAGGUCAGGGGGAGCAAAACGGGG
rnacentral:rRNA from 1 species